UCUCUCGAUUCUAAGGCACACUGAAUCCAAGUUCCUGGAGGCUGAAGAUACCUCUCGCACUGCUUGCAGAAGCUGACGCUGAGCUGCUUGGGGAUGCCCUCGGUGAUGUCCACGCGAGCCCGCAGGCAGCCCACGCACAUGUUGGCCGGGUUGGGCGGGAUGGGCACGCCGCAGUGACAGCAGAGGAUGCUGCCCUGCGUGGGCGCCGCGGGAGCCGCCAGGUACUCCAUGGCCAGGGGGAACGCGGCGGCUGGCAGCGGGAACACGCGGCCU
rnacentral:lncRNA from 1 species